rnacentral:rRNA from 1 species
CUGAGGAGCGAAAGUCUGGGGAGCGAACAGGAUUAGAUACCCUGGUAGUCCAGACCGUAAACGGUGGGCACUAGUUGUGGGAACCUUCCACGGUUUCUGCGACGCAGCUAACGCAUUAAGUGCCCCGCCUGGGGAGUACGAUCGCAAGAUUAAAACUCAAAGGAAUUGACGGGGCCCCGCACAAGCAGCGGAGCAUGCGGUUUAAUUCGACGCAACGCGAAGAACCUUACCAAGGCUUGACAUAUAGGGAAAAGUGGCAGAGAUGUCAUGUCCGCAAGGGCUCUAUACAGGUGGUGCAUGGUUGUCGUCAGCUCGUGUCGUGAGAUGUUGGGUUAAGUCCCGCAACGAGCGCAACCCUCGUUCUGUGUUGCCAGCAUUUAGUUGGGGACUCACAGGAGACUGCCGGGGUUAACUCGGAGGAAGGUGGGGAUGACGUCAAAUCAUCAUGCCCCUUAUGUCUUGGGCUGCACGCAUGCUACAAUGGCCGGUACAGAGGGCUGCAAUACCGUAAGGUGGAGCGAAUCCCAAAAAGCCGGUCUCAGUUCGGAUUGAGGUCUGCAACUCGACCUCAUGAAGUUGGAGUUGCUAGUAAUCGUAGAUCAGCAACGCUACGGUGAAUACGUUCCCGGGGCUUGUACACACCGCCCGUCACGUCACGAAAGUCGGUAACACCCAAAGUCAGUGGCCCAACCGCAAGGGGGGAG